CGUGCAGGAAGAAGGCCCGUAUGGGUUGUAAACCGCUUUUAUCAGGGAAGAAACCUGUGGAUUUACUCCGCAGCUGACGGUACCUGAAGAAUAAGCACCGGCUAACUCCGUGCCAGCAGCCGCGGUAAUAUGGAGGGUGCGAGCGUUAUCCGGAAUUACUGGGUUUAAAGGGUGCGUAGGCGGCUAUGUAAGUCAGGAGUGAAAGUUUGCGGCUCAACCGUAAAAUUGCUUUUGAUACUGCAUGGCUGGAAUUAGGAUGAGGUCAGCGGAAUGUGGCAUGUAGCGGUGAAAUGCAUAGAUAUGCCAUGGAACACCAAUUGCGAAGGCAGCUGGCUAGACCUGGAUUGACGCUGAGGCACGAAAGCGUGGGGAGCGAACAGGAUUAGAUACCCUGGUAGUCCACGCCCUAAACGAUGCUUACUCGACGUAUGAAACUUGUUUUUGUGCGUCCAAGGGAAACCGUUAAGUAAGCCACCUGGGGAGUACGACCGCAAGGUUG
rnacentral:rRNA from 1 species